UAAAAAAAGGUAAGCUACUAAGAGCGAAUGGUGGAUGCCUUGACUGGUAAAGGCGAUGAAGGACGUACUAGACUGCGAUAAGCUACGGGGAGCUGUCAAGAAGCUUUGAUCCGUAGAUUUCCGAAUGGGGCAACCCAAUGUAUAGAGAUAUACAUUACCUAUAUAGGAGCGAACGAGGGGAAUUGAAACAUCUUAGUACCCUCAGGAAAAGAAAUCAAUAGAGAUUGCGUCAGUAGCGGCGAGCGAAAGCGCAAGAGGGCAAACCCAGUGCUUGCACUGGGGGUUGUAGGACUGCAAUGUGCAAGAGCUGAGUUUAGCAGAACAUUCUGGAAAGUAUAGCCAUAGAGGGUGAUAGUCCCGUAUGCGAAAAACAAAGCUUAGCUAGCAGUAUCCUGAGUAGGGCGGGACACGAGGAAUCCUGUCUGAAUCCGGGUCGACCACGAUCCAACCCUAAAUACUAAUACCAGAUCGAUAGUGCACAAGUACCGUGAGGGAAAGGUGAAAAGAACUGAGGUGAUCAGAGUGAAAUAGAACCUGAAACCAUUUGCUUACAAUCAUUCAGAGCACUAUGUAGCAAUACAGUGUGAUGGACUGCCUUUUGCAUAAUGAGCCUGCGAGUUGUGGUGUCUGGCAAGGUUAAGCAAACGCGAAGCCGUAGCGAAAGCGAGUCUGAAUAGGGCGCUUAGUCAGAUGCUGCAGACCCGAAACGAAGUGAUCUAUCCAUGAGCAAGUUGAAGCUAGUGUAAGAACUAGUGGAGGACUGAACCCAUAGGCGUUGAAAAGCCCCGGGAUGACUUGUGGAUAGGGGUGAAAGGCCAAUCAAACUUCGUGAUAGCUGGUUCUCUCCGAAAUAUAUUUAGGUAUAGCGUUGUGUCGUAAUAUAAGGGGGUAGAGCACUGAAUGGGCUAGGGCAUACACCAAUGUACCAAACCCUAUCAAACUCCGAAUACCUUAUAUGUAAUCACAGCAGUCAGGCGGCGAGUGAUAAAAUCCGUCGUCAAGAGGGAAACAACCCAGACUACCAGCUAAGGUCCCUAAAUCUUACUUAAGUGGAAAACGAUGUGAAGUUACUUAAACAACCAGGAGGUUGGCUUAGAAGCAGCCAUCCUUUAAAGAAAGCGUAAUAGCUCACUGGUCUAGUGAUUUUGCGCGGAAAAUAUAACGGGGCUAAAGUAAGUACCGAAGCUGUAGACUUGCACACAACUUAGAUUAUUUAAGUUUAGAAUAUGAGAAACUAAGUUAUAUGUUUAGUUAUAUUUUUACUGAUUUUUAUAGAGUAAAGAUAGAAAUAAAACUUAGUAAAAUCAGUAAAAAUAUUCUUAGGCUAAAGUUAAGUAGUUUAAGUUGUGUGCAAGUGGUAGGAGAGCGUUCUAUUUGCGUCGAAGGUAUACCGGUAAGGAGUGCUGGAGCGAAUAGAAGUGAGCAUGCAGGCAUGAGUAGCGAUAAUUAAUGUGAGAAUCAUUAACGCCGUAAACCCAAGGUUUCCUACGCGAUGCUCGUCAUCGUAGGGUUAGUCGGGUCCUAAGUCGAGUCCGAAAGGGGUAGACGAUGGCAAAUUGGUUAAUAUUCCAAUACCAACAUUAGUGUGCGAUGGAAGGACGCUUAGGGCUAAGGGGGCUAGCGGAUGGAAGUGCUAGUCUAAGGUUGUAGGAGGUUAUACAGGCAAAUCCGUAUAACAAUACUCCGAGAACUGAAAGGCUUUUUGAAGUCUUCGGAUGGAUAGAAGAACCCCUGAUGCCGUCGAGCCAAGAAAAGUUUCUAAGUUUAGCUAAUGUUGCCCGUACCGUAAACCGACACAGGUGGGUGGGAUGAGUAUUCUAAGGCGCGUGGAAGAACUCUCUUUAAGGAACUCUGCAAAAUAGCACCGUAUCUUCGGUAUAAGGUGUGGUUAGCUUCGUACUAGGAUUUACUCCGAAAGCGAAGAAACUU
rnacentral:rRNA from 1 species